rnacentral:rRNA from 1 species
GAUGAACGCUAGCGAUAGGCUUAACACAUGCAAGUCGAGGGGCAGCACGGUGUAGCAAUACACUGGUGGCGACCGGCGUACGGGUGCGUAACACGUAUGCAACCUACCCGCUAUUGGGGGAUAACCCGGCGAAAGUCGGACUAAUAUCCCAUAUUAUUCUUACCGGGCAUCCGGUGAGUCUGAAAGAUUUAUCGAUUGCGGAUGGGCAUGCGGAUGAUUAGCUAGUAGGUGGGGUAACGGCUCACCUAGGCGACGAUCAUUAGGGGUUCUGAGAGGAAGGUCCCCCACACUGGAACUGAGACACGGUCCAGACUCCUACGGGAGGCAGCAGUGAGGAAUAUUGGUCAAUGGGCGCUAGCCUGAACCAGCCAAGUCGCGUGAAGGAUGACAGAUCUAUGGUUUGUAAACUUCUUUUGCAGGGGAGUAAAGUGCGACACGUGUGUUGUAUUGCAAGUACCCUGCGAAUAAGCAUCGGUUAACUCCGUGCCAGC